CAAAAACAUCGCCUCUUGCCAACACACAAGUAUAAGAGGUCCAGCCUGCCCAGUGACAAAUUGUUCAACGGCCGCGGUAUUCUGACCGUGCAAAGGUAGCGCAAUCACUUGUCUUUUAAAUAAAGACUAGUAUGAAAGGCACCACGAAGAUUCAACUGUCUCUCUUAUCCAGUCAGUGAAACUGAUCUCCCCGUGCAGAAGCGGGGAUAAACACACAAGACGAGAAGACCCUAUGGAGCUUAAAACAUAAGCAACUGCUAUCCAAUAAACAUCAAAAGACUAAAACUCUAAUCAGGCGGAAAUGACUCAAUGUUUUCGGUUGGGGCGACCACGGAGAACAAAACAUCCUCCGAGAAGAAUAGGACACAAUCCUAAAAAGAACAACAGCUCUAAAUAUCAGAACAUCUGACUUUGAUC
rnacentral:rRNA from 1 species